AGGUUUGCGGCGGAUGCCUGGGAGCUGUCCGGCGAAGAAGGCCGCGGUAAGCUGCGAAAAGCUGCGGGGAGGAGCACACAUCCUGAGAUCCGCAGAUAGCCGAAUGGGGUAACCCGUAUGCCGCAAGGCAUACACCGCGCGCGGGAAGAAGAUACUGCGGCGGAGCGAUACUGCGUGAAGUGAACCAUCUAAGUAACGCGGGAAGAGAAAUCAAAAGAGAUUGCGCAAGUAGCGGCGAGCGAACGCGCAGGAGCCUAAACCCUUAUGUAGGGUGUUGCAGGGCCGCACGGGGAUGACCCGUGGAGUUGGUGAGAAAACCGAUAUGUAGCGGAAGCGUCUGGAAAGGCGCGCGAGACAGCGUGAAAGCCGCGUAUGCGAAAGAUAUCGGACUCCAUGGUGCGGUACCUAAGUAGGGCGGGGCACGAGAAACCCUGUUUGAAUCCGGGUCGACCACGAUCCAAGGCUAAAUACGAGACAGCUACCGACAGCGAAGAGUACCGUGAGGGAACGGCGAAAAGAACCCCGGUGAGGGGAGUGAAAGAGAACCUGAAACCGCAAACCGACAAGAUGUCACGGCGCGCGAGCGUUGUGGCGUGUCUUUUGUAGAAUAAACCUGCGAGUUGCGAUGCGCGGCGAGGCUAAGGGUUGGGAGAUCCGGAGCCGGAGCGAAAGCGAGUGUGAAAAGUGCGAAAAGUCGCGUGACGCAGACCCGAAGCCAAGGUGAUCUAAUUAUGGGCAGGCUGAAGGCAGGGUGAAACCUGUUGGAGGGCCGAACAGUAAUCUGUUAAAAAAGGUAGUGAUGACCUGUGAUUAGGAGUGAAAGGCUAAACAAACCUGGAAAUAGCUGGCUCUCCCCGAAAUGCCUUUAGGGACAGCCUCAUGCAAAGCGGAAGGAGGUAAAGCACCGGAUGGGAUAGGGGGCGUCACAGUCUACCGACACCAAUCGAACUCAGAAUGCCAUCCGCCAACGCAUGGGAGUGAGACUGUGUGCUCCAAGGUUCAUAGUCGAGAGGGAAACAGCCCGGACCGACGGCAAAGGUCCCGAAAUAACGCUCAGUGUGAAAUGAGGUGCGUCUGCACAGACAGCCAGGAGGUUGGCUCAGAAGCAGCCAUUCCUUAAAAGAGUGCGUAACAGCUCACUGGUCGAGCAGGCGUGCGCAGACAAUGUAACGGGGCUAAGCGUUAUACCGAAGCCGCGGGUCCGCAUCGUAAGAGAUGCGGGCGGUAGGGGAGCAUUGCGCUAACCGAAGAAGGCGUACCUGUGAGGGGCGCUGGAGGAAGCGGAAGAGAGAAUGCAGGCACAAGUAACGAAAAGACGGGUGAGAUUCCCGUCCGCCGAAAGCCUGAGGAUUCCCGGGUAAAGGCAAUCUGCCCGGGGUAAGUCGGCCCCUAAGGCGAGGACGAAAGUCGUAGUCGAUGGGAAAUCGGUUCAAAAUCCGAUACCCGGCUCAGUUUUGAAGGCAGGACGCAUGAGGUGAAAUCCGGCAGGAGAACGGUAGUUUCUGUCCAAGCGGUAAGGUGUUGAGAGGGCGGUUAAAAGAGCCCUUGAGCUGAGCCGUUACGGGGAGCGGAGCGCAGGCGAAGCGAAGCGGAUGUAAUCAAGGUGCCGGGAAAUACUGUCUAAAGAUAGGCUGAGUCGGACCGUACCGGAAACGGACACACGCAGGCAGGAUGAGUAAUCUAAGGCGCACGAGCGACCCCGCGUUAAGGAACUCGGCAAAAAGCACACGUAACUUCGGAAGAAGUGUGGCUCACGCUGAUAAGGAUGUGAGCGGCAGAAAGCAGGCCCAGGCGACUGUUUACCAAAAACACAGCCAUCUGCGAACCGGCAACGGGACGUAUAGGUGUGACACCUGCCCGGUACCGGAAGGUUAAGGGGAGGGGUUAGCAGGAAUGCGAAGCUCCGAACCGAAGCCCCGGCAAACGGCGGCCGUAACUAUAACGGUCCUAAGGUAGCGAAAUUCCUUGUCGGGUAAGUUCCGACCCGCACGAAUGGUGUAACGAUUCUGGGCGCUGUCUCAACGCGGGACUCGGUGAAACUUAUAUUCCGGUAAAGAAGCCGGAUACCCGUAAUUAGACGGAAAGACCCCGUGAACCUUCACCGCAGCUUAUCACUGGGAUUCUAUCCGCCAUGUGUAGGAUAGCCGGGAGGCUAUGAAGCGUGCGCGUCAGCGUGCGUGGAGCCGUUGGUGAAAUACCGGCCCUGGCGGAUGGGAUUUCUAACUCCGGUCCGUGAAGCCGGAAGGGGGACAGUGAUUGGCGGGCGGUUUGACUGGGGCGGUCGCCUCCUAAAGGGUAACGGAGGCGCGCGAAGGUCUCCUCGCGGUGGUUGGAAAUCAUCGUACGAGUGUAAAGGCACAAGGAGGCUUGACUGCGAGUGAGACAUCACGAGCAGGUGCGAAAGCAGGUCUUAGUGAUCUGGCGGCGGCAAGUGGAAGCGCCGUCACUUAACGGACAAAAGGUACUCCGGGGAUAACAGGCUGAUUUUCCCCAAGAGUUCACAUCGACGGGAAAGUUUGGCACCUCGAUGUCGGCUCAUCGCAUCCUGGGGCUGGAGCAGGUCCCAAGGGUUUGGCUGUUCGCCAAUUAAAGCGGUACGUGAGCUGGGUUCAGAACGUCGCGAGACAGUUCGGUCCCUAUCUGUUACGGGCGGAGGAUGUUUGAGAGGAGCUGCUUUUAGUACGAGAGGACCGAAGCGGACGAACCUCUGGUAUACCGGUUAUCCUGCCAAGGGUAAGUGCCGGGUGGCUACGUUCGGAAGGGAUAACCGCUGAAAGCAUCUAAGCGGGAAGCCCGCCUCAAGAUGAGACAUCCCUGAGGGUAUAACCCUCCUAAAGACCCCGGAGACACUAUCCGGUUGAUAGGCUGCAGGUGCAGGCACGGCGACGUGCACAGCCGAGCAGUACUAAUAGGUCGUGAGGCUUGACC
rnacentral:rRNA from 1 species